UCAAACCAAAGCCAAAACAACACUCAACAUGUCUAGAAAUAGUGUGCAAAAAUUCAGGAGCAUUGGAUAAGAAUCAAGCAUUUCAUGAUCAAAUGAAGUUCAAGGAAAUUUUAAAGCUCAAAUGUGACCAACCAGAAUGAAAAAUCUCAAUUAAAUCAGAAAUGAAUCAAAAAAUUCCAAGCAAAUUCAUGAGUAGUCAUAACAUCCAUAUCAAGCAUCACACAAAAAAUCAGAACAAUUGGAGUUCAU
rnacentral:lncRNA from 1 species